rnacentral:lncRNA from 1 species
UGUUUUUUGAGAAGGAGUCUCUCUCCGUCACCCAGGCUGGAGUGCAGUGGUGUGAUCUCAGCUCACUGCAACGUCUGCCUCCUGAGUUCAAGUAAUUCUCUGGCCUCAGUCCCCCAAGUAGCUGGGACUACAGGUGCAUGCCACCACGCCCGGCUAAUUUUUGUAGUUUUAGUAGAGACAGGGUUUCAUCGUAUUGGCCAGGCUGGUCUUGAACUCCUGGCCUCACGUGAUCUGCCUGCCUCAGCCUCCCAAAGUGCUGGGAUUACAGUUAUGAGCCACUGCACCUGGCAUUGAACCGUGGUAUUCUUGCUCUAAAAUUUGUACUGUGUCUUCAGGUAGAAGCAAAGGCCCUGUCCUGGAGGUGUCUGUAGAUUGGCCAGGACCCAGACUGGAGCCUAGAAUGUAACCUGGCGGCUGGGGGUGGGGUGGAGGGUGAAGAUGUUACAAAGAUGUGGCUUGUUUGGCUCAGACACGUUUAAAAAAUAAAGACAUUUGACAUAAAAAUUAUGCAUUUCCUGCUUCUCCUUUAAAAGCCAGAAGCAUUGGCAGCGGAAGGCUGGAGCUAAGCAAUGAUCAUCCCUUUGUCAAAACUUGGGCAUACCUUUCCACUUGGCCACAGACCCCACCAUGCCCUAUUGUCUGGCUUUUGUGGGCAGUGAGCGUGGGGGUGGAGCUGUGGAGUCCAGGCUUCACCAGCAGGAAAGGAAUGUGAAGGCUCGUGCUGCGCCUGGUGGCCAGUCCUCAAAGCUGGCAUUGUGAGCAGUGUGAAGAACCACCUUCUAGUGGAGUGAGCGAAGGCAGGAAGAACCCUGAGCUCCAUCCUCCUCAAGUAAUUCUCCUGCUCCUGAGCCCUCCCUCCUCACCCACACGAGUUCCGAUUCCUGCCCUCCGAGGGUCCCAAUCCUGGUCCUCCUUGCCAAUGUGCCAACCACCUCAUACAAAUGUUGUAUAAUACCCAGCUGCUGCCAGGCGCUGGACACGGUGCUUUCCCACGCCUGAUCCCCUCGGAUCCUGCCCCGGCCCCCUCCACGCAGGGACGACGCACUCCAUUUUAUAGACACAUAGCUGAGGUUCUGAGACGUCAGGGGACUCAUCAAGUAAGGGCAGAAACCUGGACCCAGGCCUUCUGAUGCCCAGAUAGGCUGGCAUUAGGGACGGGGCUUCCCACCCACAUGAGUGUACAAUGAAGAAACAGCCUUGAGUGCAGCAGCCUUACGAGGUGGCCAAAGGGACAAGCCCAUCCCCCUGAAAUCUGGAGUCCAGGAGUCACCACAGCACACAGCACAGAGGGUGGCAGCGAGCGAGAAGCCAGGCCUGGCGGGAGCGGAUAGUUGGGCUAUGGUCCCUUCCCACAUUGAUUUUCACAGCACAGAGUCACACAAACUCCUCAUAGAGGCGUCCAGAGGCAGCAGUUGAGCGAAAGACUCUAGGUCUACAUGGGAUCUCAUCAGGGUGAGCAUGGGCAGCUGACCACACUGCUGCCAACCUCAGUCUCCACAUCUGAGAAAUGGGCUUGUUACCAGUGCCUGCCUGAGAGGGUCUAUCACAGGGUGUCCCUGACUUCAUCCACAAGCGGUGCUCAGGGCAGGGCCCGCAUAUCACAGGGUGUCCCUGACUUCAUCCACAAGCGGUGCUCAGGGCAGGGCCCGCAUCUCUAAGGGCUUGACAGAGGACUGCUCUUACGGCCCAGCUCGGUCGCAGGGAUCUCCACGUGUCCCCUUGAGAGGCUCAGCACAGGACAGAGGCUACAUUUUGUACCACCCCGUUUGUAUAAAAUACCCAGAAUAUUUAUGGUAAAUAUAUAUAAAUAAAUAUAAAUAUUUAUGGUAAAUUUUUAUGUAGCUGCUCUGGAGCAGUGGAGGAGCCCAGCCCCCCUGAAAUCUGAAUCCAUUGAUUCAGGUAAAUCCAGAGAGACAGAAAGCAGAUUGGUAGUUGCCAGGGGCUGGGGUUGGGGGAAAGGGGGACCGACUGCUUCAUGGGGAUAGGGUUUCCCUUUGAGGUCAUGAAAAUGUUCUGGAAUUAGACAGAGGCGUGGAUGCAUAACAUGUGCUAAAUGCCACUGAAUUGUGCACCUAAAAUGGUUAAUUUUAUGUUGUGUGAAUUUCACUGCAAUUUACAAAAAGCUAGUGAUAGAAUGAUGAGCGUAGAUUCCCCUUAUGUGUUAAUGUGCACCUGCCACAUCUUGGAGGAAUCACAGGAGAAUGGGCCGGAGGGACACACACAUGUGUGGUUACCUGUGGCGGGGGGCAAUCUGUCCAUUUCAUCCGGGAUUUCUCAGUGUGGGUCUGGGAAUCUGGGGUGUUUCUGAAUCUCCCCAGGGAGCUUGUUAAAAUGCAGAUCUCUGACCUACAGAGUCACCCAGGGUCCCCGGAAUCUGCAUUCUGAACAAGCUCCGUAGGCUGCCAGCAGGCAUCUGGAAGUACCGACCCCUCCGUCUUUCUGCCGUCCUUCUCCAACCAUCCCUCCAUCCAUCAGGUUAGCUGCCUCUCCUCCCAGGCUGCAUCCCACCCCGCCUCAACUUAUGCCAAUGUCUCUACUACUCAGGCUUCACUCCAAUUUCCCUAAUUUCGCGGCACCUCCUUAGCUGGCUGGCGGACUCCCUUUCUGAGCUCUCUCUCCCCUGAGAUGCUGUUGCCCAAACCAGGGCACAAUCUCAGGUGCUUCAUCUGACACUCUCUUGGUUCCCCUGAGCGAGCUGCAACCCGCUCUGUAGCUGCCCAGUGGACAGCCCCAUCUCCCCAGUGAGAUCCAUGCUCCUCACGGGCAGGGGUCGCGUCUUCCAAGCCUCUGCCCUCCACCCCUGAGCCCACCAGCUCUGGGAAGCAGGCAGGGCACAGUCACACAUGACCACAGAGCAGGGGUGCAUCCUGCUUGGACUGUGCAUGUGGGGUCCCUAUCCAUUUCCCUUCUUGAAAUGUGACCCCCUGCUCUGGCCUGACUUGCAUCCUCUCAAAUUCACAUGGAAGCCCUGACCCCCCAGGUGAUGGUAUUUGAAGAUGGGGCCUUUGGGGGUUGAUCGGGUUUAGCUGAGGUCAUGAGGGUGGGGUCCUCGUGAUGGGAUUCGUACCCUUGGAAGAGGAGACAACAGAGAACGGGCUUCCUGUCUCUCCCUUUGCCACCUGAGGACACAGGGAGAAGGUGGCUGUCUGAAAGCCAAGGCGUGGGCCAAAUCAGCUGGCACCUUGAUCUUGGACUUCUCCAUACUCAGAACUGUGGGAAAUGCAUGCCUGUUGUUGCAGGCACCUGUCCGUGGUAUUUGGUUAUGGCAGCUGGAGCAGACUAAGACACCCACCCCCUGGGAAUAGAAACCACCCUUUGCUAACCUCCAGUUCCCGAGAAGUGCAAUGUUUGCUUAGUGCAGACUCCAUUUCCAUGAACUAGAGGUUAGAGAGGGGUCUCCUGGGGAGUGGCGGGGCGGGGGCAGGGCUCUGGUCCUGCACGAGAGUGCUCGGCAGAGAUGGGUGGGACACAAAGGCCUCCAGCCUUCUCUUUCGCUCUGAGUCACCGGGCACCCUACCUAUUUAUCCCUGGAACAAGUUUAGUUCCCGCAGACGAUCACAGUGCAUCCCCUUCGUCCCCACCUAGCUGGGAGUGACUCAGCUGGGUGACUUGUCAACUCCAUGUAAAAUCUCAGGCCCAGCCCCUGGGAGGGGUUCCAGUUCCAUCUCUGGCAUUUCAUUAAAGUUGGGACCAUCUUUCUCCGGCUUUUUGCAGCCAGGCUCAAAUCAGAUAAACUCCUUUGUUCUUCGUGGAACUGACAAGCAGUUAAAACCCCAUUAUUAUGCUAUAAUUUCAGAAAAUGGAUCCAAGUGAAUAGCUAAAUAGGGCUCAAGGCUGCUUAAUGAGACAUCUUAUUUGAGGCUUUCAAAUGUCAGAAAUUCCAGACAGCAGCAAGCUGAAGUCUCUGGGACCAACGUGUCAGCUCCAGGAAAGCUGGACCCCACGGUGCAGUGGAAGCAAAGAUUAAAACAGCAGGCUGGAGGAGCAGAAAUGUGAACAGCUGGAGGCCGGAAAAGAAAGGACACAAGCGGAGAAGAAACACCAGAGGAAAAAUAAUCCCUUAGAGGGUAAAGAACAAAUAAUUGAAUAAGGGAUUAAAAAACACACAAGGAGAGAUCCCUGGUAAUUACCCUUGACAGCCAGUGUGAAAAGGGCCCGGGAUGGGGGCUUUGUCCCUCCCCUCUCCGCUCACACCUCUCAGCCGCAGUAGGUUCUUUCCUGUUGCUCCUGUCUUGAUUUAGAAUAAGCUCCUUUUCUCUAAAGCAAA